rnacentral:rRNA from 5 species
UAAAAGCUACCCCGGGGAUAACAGGCUUAUCUCCCCCAAGAGUUCACAUCGACGGGGAGGUUUGGCACCUCGAUGUCGGCUCAUCGCAUCCUGGGGCUGUAGUCGGUCCCAAGGGUUGGGCUGUUCGCCCAUUAAAGCGGUACGCGAGCUGGGUUCAGAACGUCGUGAGACAGUUCGGUCCCUAUCCGUCGUGGGCGUAGGAAAUUUGAGAGGAGCUGUCCUUAGUACGAGAGGACCGGGAUGGACAUACCUCUGGUGUACCAGUUGUCGUGCCAACGGCAUAGCUGGGUAGCUAUGUGUGGACGGGAUAAGUGCUGAAAGCAUCUAAGCAUGAAGCCCCCCUCAAGAUGAGAUUUCCCAACUUCGGUUAUAAGAUCCCUCAAAGAUGAUGAGGUUAAUAGGUUCGAGGUGGAAGCAUGGUGACAUGUGGAGCUGACGAAUACUAAUCGAUCGAAGACUUAAUCAA